UCCUAGCAGAAUGCAAACUACACAUGCGCAUUACCCUCCGCUGACGACCGGUUCUGCUCUGUGGGCAACUGCGCAAGCGUUAUUCGGGAAGGGUGAAAGGUCAAUGUUAUGUUGAGGGAGAGGAACUAAUGCGCGUCUGGUGCAUUUACAGUAUAGCGUGUGGCAGGCAAGGAUUCCCCGAGGCAUGGUAUAUUGGCGAAACCAAGCAGAUGGUAUGACGACAGAUGAAUGGACGCCUUGCAAUAAUUACCAGACAGGGGUUAUCCAUUCCAGUGGGGGAACACUUCAGCAGUCAAGGACAAUCAGCCUCAAAGCUUUGGAUAAAUGUCCUCUAAGGCGGACUUCAGGACACGCAACAGUGUAGAGUUGACGAACAGAGGCUGAUAGCCAUGUUCGAUCCCAUGAGGAUGGACUCGACCGGGAUCGUGAAUUCAUAUCACACUGCAGAUGACCCCACUACACUACACACACACAUAUACACACUUGCACUCACACGGUUUCACAGGCAUAUACUUACUUGCACUUGUGCAUGCACUCUCUUGAGCACAUACACUUUUGCACACAUUCAGGUAUGCUCUCACACACACAUACCUCCUCACACUCAUUCACACUUCUUUUGAAGUGCACACUGUCUCUCUUUCAAAAGCACUCACAAAACUCCCCCUCUGUCUCGCACACGCGCAUACAUGCACAUGCACUCCCUCCCUCUUCCUCACACAAACAUGCAUGCCCCCCAACACACUGACAUAUAUGGAGUGAAUUUGCAUUUGCAGCUUUGUAUUUGCAGAUACAUUCUAUUUUGUUCAAAAAGCGCACAAUAUGUACACAGUCAGUCAUAAAACCAGUCUGACAGAUACGAACAACUUGAAACAUGGCCUUACACCUAAAAUACAUUGUCUGACCUGAGUGUCACCUUUAUUCUGAUAAUAUCUGGAGUUAUCAUGGGGUCAGUGACUUGAAAGAAAUUCUGGGAUUUACAUAUUAAUGAAAUGAAAUCUGUAUCUCCAUUCUAACUGAUUAAAGACUUAAUAGCCAUCCAGGUUUUUUCAAAAGAUUCGCAAAAGUUGUAUGAGCCUUUGAUCUUUUACUUAUACAUUCUGUGUUUGAUGUAUUCUUUCUGAGGAAGGAGCAAGGGCUCUAAAAGCUUGCAGUUUCAAAUAAACCUGUUGGACUAUA